AUACGUAGGGGGCGAGCGUUGUCCGGAAUGAUUGGGCGUAAAGGGCGCGUAGGCGGCCCGGUAAGUCUGGAGUGAAAGUCCUGUUUUUAAGAUGGGAAUUGCUUUGGAUACUGUCGGGCUUGAGUGCAGGAGAGGUAAGUGGAAUUCCCAGUGUAGCGGUGAAAUGCGUAGAGAUUGGGAGGAACACCAGUGGCGAAGGCGACUUACUGGACUGUAACUGACGCUGAGGCGCGAAAGUGUGGGGAGCAAACAGGAUUAGAUACCCUGGUAGUCCACGCUGUAAACGAUGAAUGCUAGGUGUAAGAGGUAUCGACCCCUUUUGUGCCGGAGUCAACACAAUAAGCAUUCCGCCUGGGGAGUACGGCCGCAAGGCUAAAACUCAAAGGAAUUGACGGGG
rnacentral:rRNA from 1 species